rnacentral:rRNA from 1 species
GGGGGGGGGGGGGGGGGGGGGGGGGGGGGGGGGGGGGGGGGGGGGGGGGGGGGUUGCUCCUGGGGUCAGCGGCGGGCGGGUGGGUAAUGCCUGGGAAUCUGCCUGGUAGUGGGGGAUAACGUCCGGGAACGGGCGCUAAUACCGCAUACGGCCUGAGGGAGAAAGUGGGGGAUCUUCGGACCCCCCGCUAUCAGAUGAGCCUAGGUCGGAUUAGCUAGGUGGUGGGGUAAAGGCCUACCAAGGCGACGAUCCGUAACUGGUCUGAGAGGAUGAUCAGUCACACUGGAACUGAGACACGGUCCAGACUCCUACGGGAGGCAGCAGUGGGGAAUAUUGGACAAUGGGCGAAAGCCUGAUCCAGCCAUGCCGCGUGUGUGAAGAAGGUCUUCGGAUUGUAAAGCACUUUAAGUUGGGAGGAAGGGCAGUAAGUUAAUACCUUGCUGUUUUGACGUUACCAACAGAAUAAGCACCGGCUAACUUCGUG